GGAUGAACGCUGGCGGCGUGCCUAAUACAUGCAAGUCGAGCGAACAGAUAAGGAGCUUGCUCCUUUGACGUUAGCGGCGGACGGGUGAGUAACACGUGGGUAACCUACCUAUAAGACUGGGAUAACUUCGGGAAACCGGAGCUAAUACCGGAUAACAUUUGGAACCGCAUGGUUCUAAAGUGAAAGAUGGUUUUGCUAUCACUUAUAGAUGGACCCGCGCCGUAUUAGCUAGUUGGUAAGGUAACGGCUUACCAAGGCAACGAUACGUAGCCGACCUGAGAGGGUGAUCGGCCACACUGGAACUGAGACACGGUCCAGACUCCUACGGGAGGCAGCAGUAGGGAAUCUUCCGCAAUGGGCGAAAGCCUGACGGAGCAACGCCGCGUGAGUGAUGAAGGGUUUCGGCUCGUAAAACUCUGUUAUUAGGGAAGAACAAAUGUGUAAGUAACUGUGCACGUCUUGACGGUACCUAAUCAGAAAGCCACGGCUAACUACGUG
rnacentral:rRNA from 1 species